GGCGGGGGUCCGGACCCGGCCCAGGGUUCGGCCGCGCAGCCCAGAGGCGGGGGCUCGGGGCCGGGGCAUCCCUGCCCCUUUCUGGGCCCCGCGCCCACUCCAAAAAGGAGCGCUGGGCCUGGAGCCAGACGGCCUCGGGGUCACGUGCCCCGACCCUGGGGGACCAUCCGUGGGUCCUUGAUGCUGGAGGAGCCUCAAGUGCCCCUCCGUGAAACGGGUUAACAGCAGCUCCGCAGGCAGUGAGGCGCGCGUGGGUCGCCCCUCUCCUCCGGGCCUGGCAGCUGACGGAUGCUCCGUUUCUUUCACUUCUUAGGGAAAAGGGCCCUCAGUCGUUCACGGCUUCCCGCAGCGAAUGAUGGCUGAACGCCUGCUGUGCCAGGCACUGUGUUAGGCCUUGGGGUUACAGCAUGAAGACAGACACGGUCUCACAUUCUCAGGGGAGACAAGCAAUAAGCAAACGGCUAAAAGAGUCAGUGGCACAGAGGGUGCUUCAGAUGGUGACAGGCGUCAUGGAGAAGAAUAAAGGGGAAGGAAGCCUGAAGAGCAGAUCUGGAGUCAGAGCCUGGCCCUGCUACUCAGUAGCUGUGUGACUUUGCACAAGUCACUUAACCUCUCUGAGUGGUAGUUCUUCCAUCUAUCACAUGGGGAGGAUAAUGAUAUGUUCUUUACAGCAAGAUUAAAAAGAUGGACAAGGAAGCUGGCCUUCCCCAAGAAGACUUUGGUGUCGGAAAUUUCUG
rnacentral:lncRNA from 1 species